rnacentral:rRNA from 1 species
CGUGUAGGCGGUCUCGUAUGUCUGUCGUGAAAGCCCCGGGCUUACCCCGGGAAGUGCGAUGGAAACUGCGAGACUAGAGUCCCGGAGAGGAAGGUGGAAUUCCAGGUGUAGCGGUGAAAUGCGUAGAUAUCUGGAAGAACACCGGUGGCGAAGGCGGCCUUCUGGACGGUGACUGACGCUGAGACGCGAAAGCGUGGGGAGCAAACAGGAUUAGAUACCCUGGUAGUCCACGCCAUAAACGAUGGGCACUAGGUGUCGCGGGUAUUGACCCCUGCGGUGCCGAAGCUAACGCAUUAAGUCGCCCCGCCGUGGGGAAUACGGCCGCAAGGUUAAA